CAUGAGGAAGGUGAACAAGAUGGAUACCCUCAACAAAGACAGGAAGAGAGACUUAUUCCCCCCCUUGUGGUGUCUAGUCCUGCAAGAGAUGUAUACAGAGAAGUCAGACAGUCGGCCAGAGAGAGAAGACCAAGACAGUUAUUUACAUAUGAUACACUUGGCCAACCCUCUCUACAUGCUUACAUAGACACAGUCUCCACUUGCACUACACCAUCCCACAUACCUGCUCUUAGUAUGCCACACUACUUCCGACCAUUGUUCUCAUCUUUGCCCUACAAAUCACCUAUGUACAUGCCAUACACAUAUUACAUGCCAUACACCACACCUGUAUACCAAUGGGGAAAUAGAAGGUUUUGAGGUAUUUGAAAUGUCAGGGGCCAUUUUUAUUUUGUCGGGGAGUGUGUGAUGCCCACUAAUGUGUGCCCAUAUUUGUUUACGUUAAGUUUUUAUAUGCUGCACCAUUUUAUAUUAUUAAGACACUUUAUUUCCUACUAAAUUGAUUUUAUUUUGUAUGAGCAAUAUCUUUUAUAGUUUUACAUUUUUACAAUGCAAGUGCACUAUCCUGCCAGUAGGAGGCACAGUAAUAUUGUGGUUUGCCUGAAUCCCCGUGAGAUCCUCAUAACUAAUGAGGAUCUGAAAAGACAAGCCACGUCUCCCGUGUCAGCAUUCUUUUCUCUUUGUUUCAGGUGGGUUAUGUGUUUAAAAUGUAAAACAAGUUCAUGUGAGUGAUUGGAGAAUGUGUAGUGUAAUGUUUUAGUAAAGUAUGAGUGUGAAAAUUAGUACAUGUGUAUGUGGCAGGUUGAGUGUUGCUCCUCCUCCACUCAGUUGAUUUCUGGUGGGCAGAUUGCAGAGUGGUUUCACCUGUAUAAGUGCUGCGCCUUCUCUGGCGCGCACACUGCUGCCUGGCACUCGUGGCGAAGACUCGGUGUGGCGUCUGUUAGUUGUUGGUUUGUUGUCGGUUGGUGUGGCGUGCUUCAGUCACUUGAAGCGUUGUUGGCCGUGUUGUUCGGGGGCGGCAUUGUGAGGGGAGUCUGGCAUCCGCUCUGUACUGUUGCCGCAGCCGGUGAUCAGUUUCGGGGGCGUAAAGCUCUCUUCGUUCGGCUGUUGGAGCCGCAGCGGUGCUUUUGCUUUUCUUCCUCCUCCUGUGCUCUGGUGAAGCUGCCCUGCACGGCUCUGUGACGUAGCCUACACCUGGCGAUCCCAAACGUAAACCAUCCACGGCCUCCGGUCCUGGGGCGGCCGCUCUGUCUUCGCCAGCCGCUCCGUCUUCUCCAUCCACUCCGUCGUCUUCAUCAUCUUCGGCUGCUCCGGCACCGUUGCCUUUUUCCACACAGUCCGAUGUGGCGGUUGCAUUCCCACGCAGCGCUAAGUUUUCAGUCCCACCACAACUCUUAUUGGUUUGGUUAAUUGUCUGCUUUUCCUUUCAUCUUUUUGUGUUUUGUGUUCUUUAGUUUAUUUGUUUGGGUUAAAUCCUAUACAUACAUAUAUUUUUGUGUUGCGUUUUGUUGACCCAUUUGGGGUUAAGCAUAUCAAUAUUUUCUUAUUAUUUCUGAUCUAUUGCUUUGGGGUUUAACUGAUUAUUUUCUGUUUAGUUUAACAUAGCUGUUGGGUUUGUGUUUGGGGUGUUAAAUACGCCUGGCCCCCACCCAGAGUUACAUUUCGUUUGUUUCCUUAUUACUUGUCUUAAGAAUUAGUUGGGUUUCUGUAUAUUUGUAUUUGGGUUUAAAUAUUUGGUUAUGAGUCAGUUCUGUUCCUGUGUCUGGGUGUGAGUGCUGUGUGUGUGUAUGUGUGUGUUUUAUUAUAGUCCUCUGUUUUAAAUGAUUGUCGGAACAACCUGAGUGUCUCGCCACAACAGUAGUGUAAUUUUUGUCUUUCUUUCUUGUGUUUCCAGGACAGGAGCUGGUGCAGCGGGCGGCAGGCUUGGUUUGUAGUGGUUCUUUUGUGGUUUUGAGUUGAUUUAGCCUGACCGCCUCGCUACAGCCUAGCUCUGUGCCUGUUGUAUUUAUUUCUACUUUGGGGUUUUGACUUGACACUUCAGUGGUUGUUGAGAUCCCUGAGCUCUUUUAAUUCUGCUUACUGUAAAUAAAUAAAAUUAUAUACUUUGUAAGUCCGUCUCUCGUCCUUUAUACAAAACGUGCAACGAAUCUGUGUGACCUCUGGUUGGCCAAAGUACAGGGCCAAUGUUGUAUUUCCUGUGGCGCAAUUCCCCAGGUGGUGUUGUCGAGCAACUUUCCCCCCCUUUCUCUCCAUUCCGCCACAUGUAGCAAGUAAGGUCCGACGCUCGCCGAGAGAUUUGUAAUGGCGGCGCCGUUUGAAGUCUUACCGUUAAGCUAGUAGCUUUAAGCUAGUACAGACCACGCUCGUCUCUACCUUUUUGUUUUAUUGUAAUAGCACCACACGUGGCUUACUUCUUGAAGUUUUGUAAAAUGUUAAAAACGGGUUAAGAAAAGUUAUUUGAAGUUCAGUAAUAAGAAAAUGUUUGAUAUAGUUUACAAGGUAGGUACUGUUAGAAAUACUAGUUCAGUAAAACCUAAUGGGUUUUAAGAACAUUAAAGAUGCACUUUGUACAAACUGUUUAUUGUAUCAGAGACAAGAUAGAUGAAAGAACAACACUGAGAAAAGGUGUGUUUUGAAUAAAGAGUAUUUUUUGUGUAUUUUGGUUUGUUUUAAGAACAUGGAAAUAUAUGUCUAAUUAGACAACAUAUGCAGUAAUAUGAUGCUGAGUUUAAAAUGCAUGGACAAUGUGAAGAUAAACAGUAACCUUCAGUAAAUUGAGAAGUUAAAUGAAUAAAUAUAACUAAUGAGGAUCUGAAAAGACAAGCCACGUCUCCCGUGUCAGCAUUCUUUUCUCUUGGUUUGUUAUCUAAAAUCUGUCCAAGGCGAUCCCACCUGGGACCCGUUACAUCAGCACUUUGAGGUGGGCUAGAGACCGAAUUUCACAUAAGUUCAGGCACUGACUGAUAUGACCAUACUUACUGUUGUACUGACUACUUGUACACAAGGAACCAUUUGAUUUUACUAUAUAGAUUUAGAGAAAAUGUCAUUUGAAAAACGUACACAUGCAUAUUCUCCCCUUUGCAAAAUUGCAUUAUGUCAGCACUUUGAAGUGAGCUAUAGACCGAAUUUCCACAUAAGUUCAGGCACUGACUGAUAUUACCACACUAACCUUUGUACCGACUACUUGUACACAAGGAACAAUUUGAUUUUACUGUAUUCACCUUAUUCUUCAACCGUUCUAUUUCCCAUGAUUCAUAGCGGGUUCAACUGACUAAACGGUUUUCUAUUUCCGGUUAAGUGUUUGUUUACAUUGCAUGAUCCUACAAGCGUCGCUUAAAGCUAGUUAUUUUAAGGCUUAAGGAAGUUAUUUUACAUAACUGAUCAUUCAAGAUGGGAAGUAGUCGGUGGCUACACACUGCCGAUGAAAUCUUAAAAGAUCAUAUCAGAGUCCCAAAUCCGUCAAAACUGACAGGUUGGGUGGAUGAGAUGAAACUAUGGCCAGGAGUUAGCCAUAUUGAUAUAAUCAAUUAUUUUGUCUUUUCUGAGGGUGGAGAUCGUGAGGAGAUGCGUAAUUAUAAAAGUACUGAGGCCUUCAAUUACUUCCAUAGCAAUAAAGUCGGGCGCAUUUUUUUAUGUAAGCACGAAGACUAUGUGUUUUUGAAGGCAGAGGUCGACAGGAGCCAAAGUGCUAACCAUAAGGUUAUAGCUUGGGUUAUGCUUCAGCCGUCGGGGUUGAUAGAGACUGUCGGGUGCUCAUGUAUGGCUGGAUUAGGGAGAUCGUGCUGCAGUCAUGCCGCAGCAAUCCUUUGGAAGGUAUGAAGAAGAAAAAAAAUCCUUUGUUUAUCUGUGAAUUAAUAAAAGUAACGUGAUCAUAUCACUUUUUAUGAGUGUUUUUUCGAUUCAGUUCAGCUAGGUGAGGAUGACAACAUUUGAAACAAAUGGCAAAUGGGUAUAAUGUUCUGUUAAUGUGCUGAAAAAAGACUGAGGGACAUAAACUUCAGCCACCACAGGGCAGGAGAUGAAUUUGGUAUAAGGGUGUCCGGUGCUCAGCCACUACCAAACAACCCACAAUAUAUGUCACAUGCCGAAUUCUUGACUAAUGUAGACAAAGACCCAACAAAGCCACUUUUCCAGUUAAAAAACAGUCUGUUGGGCAAGUGUUACAGAGCCAAACCAGCAGUGCAACCCUGUAGCCUUGCACAUACUGCAGUAGAUGCAAGAUUUUUAAGACCUCAUCAAACCCAUGC